AUUGAACGCUGGCGGCAGGCCUAACACAUGCAAGUCGAGCGGAUGAAGGGAGCUUGCUCCUGGAUUCAGCGGCGGACGGGUGAGUAAUGCCUAGGAAUCUGCCUGGUAGUGGGGGAUAACGUCCGGAAACGGGCGCUAAUGCCGCAUACGUCCUGAGGGAGAAAGUGGGGGAUCUUCGGACCUCACGCUAUCAGAUGAGCCUAGGUCGGAUUAGCUAGUUGGUGGGGUAAAGGCCUACCAAGGCGACGAUCCGUAACUGGUCUGAGAGGAUGAUCAGUCACACUGGAACUGAGACACGGUCCAGACUACUACGGGAGGCAGCAGUGGGGAAUAUUGGACAAUGGGCGAAAGCCUGAUCCAGCCAUGCCGAGUGUGUGAAGAAGGUCUUCGGAUUGUAAAGCACUUUAAGUUGGGAGGAAGGGCAGUAAGUUAAUACCUUGCUGUUUUGACGUUACCAACAGAAUAAGCACCGGCUAACUUCGUG
rnacentral:rRNA from 1 species